UAAAUCAAAGGUCAUUAGAUGCUGUAUAUUGCUAAAUAGAUGAGAGAAAUUGAUUGGUAGUUUGAAGGAUUUACUGUUUCAUUGAUUUGCCAGAGGCAGAGAUAAUGGGGAAGAGAGAAAGAGAAAGAGAGAAACUCAGGAAGUCAACAGGGGAAGUUUAGUGGUUUCUUACGUCAAUGCUUGCUGUUGCUUGGUUGUGCCGGUGCAGAGUGAAGAGUUGGUUGUGUGUGGAGAUUCCAAGGGAAUCGUGGUUCAAGCAGCCACCAAACAUCAACUCUUGGAGCAGCAAGAAACCUGUGUGUGUGUGGGUCCUGUUAUGGUCUUGGAGUUGAACCCACACUGCUCCAGUGAACUGGUGUGUGGCGAUGCACUGGGCCAGCUCUACUUCCUCUCCUGGAGAGAAUAACCACCCUGUGUACACACACAGUCCAUUGUAUACACACACUGCUCCAUAUACAUCUAAUCAUAAUUAACUAACUCUAACACGGAUAUGUCAGUACUACUGUAAUCGAAUGCAUAUUCUCUCAGGCAGCUCCAUCAAUGUUAUCUUCUACACACUAUCUAAUAUGCAUACUCUUUAUAUCUAAUACCUCUACUUAUAUAUGUACGUGCCUUAAAAACACGUACAAGUGAAGAACCUCAAUGUAAAUCAGCUAUAAUGCAUAUUAUUUUAAGUUUACAUUAAACUAGAUUAUUGUCCUUGAUCCCCAGCUGUGUCAAACAAGAUAUAUCCCUUUAAUAAAUAAUAUACCACAUUUUCAGAAUGGUUUCAUUAGGUUGUGUGGAUGACAACAGAGAUGGCAAUAUUUUAAAUGUUUAACAAUUUCCUGACACCUGUGUUCAAUUCUUUAUAAAUGCAUUAUUAGACUCAUAAGGAACCAUAACUUUGAAUAAUGGUUGAAUAAACUGUUUUUUAUUUUA